UACGUAGGGGGCUAGCGUUGCUCGGAAUCACUGGGCGUAAAGCGCACGUAGGCGGAUUGUUAAGUCAGGGGUGAAAUCCUGGAGCUCAACUCCAGAACUGCCCUUGAUACUGGCGGUCUCGAGUCCGGGAGAGGUGAGUGGAACUGCGAGUGUAGAGGUGAAAUUCGUAGAUAUUCGCAAGAACACCAGUGGCGAAGGCGGCUCACUGGCCCGGUACUGACGCUGAGGUGCGAAAGCGUGGGGAGUAAACAGG
rnacentral:rRNA from 1 species